rnacentral:misc_RNA from 1 species
GGAGCUAUGGAGGAAGAAGCAGUCCGAUGUGAUGAGAUUUCUACAGAGGGUGAGAUGCUGGGAAUAUCGCCAACAUCCAUCCAUUGUUCGUGUCAAUCACCCCACUCGCCCUGAUAAAGCUCGCCGUCUUGGUUACAAGGCCAAGCAGGGUUACGUGGUUUACAGGGUCCGAGUGCGACGUGGUGGUAGGAAGAGGCCGGUUCCCAAGGGUAUUGUGUAUGGAAAGCCAACCAACCAAGGUGUUACCCAAUUGAAGUUCCAGCGCAGCAAGCGAUCAGUUGCAGAAGAACGAGCAGGGCGAAAGUUGGGUGGUUUGAGGGUUCUCAACUCGUACUGGAUCAAUGAGGAUUCUACCUACAAAUACUAUGAGGUGAUUUUGGUCGACGUCGCCCAUAAUGCAGUUCGCAAUGACCCAAGAAUCAACUGGAUC